rnacentral:rRNA from 1 species
UACGAAGGGGGCUAGCGUUGCUCGGAAUCACUGGGCGUAAAGGGUGCGUAGGCGGGUCCUUAAGUCAGGGGGGAAAUCCUGGAGCUCAACUCCAGAACUGCCUUUGAUACUGAGGAUCUUGAGUUCGGGAGAGGUGAGUGGAACUGCGAGUGUAGAGGUGAAAUUCGUAGAUAUUCGCAAGAACACCAGUGGCGAAGGCGGCUCACUGGCCCGAUACUGACGCUGAGGCACGAAAGCGUGGGGAGCAAACAGG